CAGUCGCCACGGGAAUACGCAGGGGGCUAGCGUUGCUCGGAAUUACUGGGCGUAAAGGGAGCGUAGGCGGGUCGUUUAGUCAGAGGUGAAAUCCCGGGGCUCAACCUCGGAACUGCCUUUGAUACUGGCGACCUUGAGUAUGGGAUAGGCAAGCGGAACUCCGAGUGUAGAGGUGAAAUUCGUAGAUAUUCGGAAGAACACCAGUGGCGAAGGCGGCUUACUGGCCCAUUACUGACGCUGAGGCUCGAAAGCGUGGGGAGCAAACAGGAUUAGAUACCCCUGUAGUCCCUGUCUCUUAUAC
rnacentral:rRNA from 1 species